rnacentral:rRNA from 1 species
ACAUGCCUACAACAUAGCGUUAAUGCACGGAAUCCCAUUAGAACUCUAUGGUUAAGCGUGCUUGGGCUAGAGUACAACUAGGAUGGGUGACCAUCCAGGAAGUCCUAGUGUUUUACAUGCC